ensembl:snRNA U6 U6 spliceosomal RNA
GUGCUGAAUUCGGCAGCACAUAUACUAAAAUUGGAACGACACAGAGAUUAGCAUGGCCCCUGUGCAAGGAUGACACGCAAGUUCGUGAAGCAUUCCAUAUUUGG